AUUGAACGCUGGCGGCAGGCUUAACACAUGCAAGUCGAGCGGAGAUGAGGUGCUUGCACCUUAUCUUAGCGGCGGACGGGUGAGUAAUGCUUAGGAAUCUGCCUAUUAGUGGGGGACGACAUUCCGAAAGGAAUGCUAAUACCGCAUACGCCCUACGGGGGAAAGCAGGGGAUCUUCGGACCUUGCGCUAAUAGAUGAGCCUAAGUCGGAUUAGCUAGUUGGUGGGGUAAAGGCCUACCAAGGCGACGAUCUGUAGCGGGUCUGAGAGGAUGAUCCGCCACACUGGGACUGAGACACGGCCCAGACUCCUACGGGAGGCAGCAGUGGGGAAUAUUGGACAAUGGGCGGAAGCCUGAUCCAGCCAUGCCGCGUGUGUGAAGAAGGUCUUUUGGUUGUAAAGCACUUUAAGCGAGGAGGAGGCUACCUGGAUUAAUACUCUAGGAUAGUGGACGUUACUCGCAGAAUAAGCACCGGCUAACUCUGUGCCAGCCGCCGCCGUAAUAC
rnacentral:rRNA from 1 species